CGGCUCCAUUGAGCCAACUGAUCCAAUGGAUUCCACCUAUCAGCCCAGCAUCACUGAAAUUUCACAGGACAAUGUGAGUGCUCCUCCACUGUAUGAAAGCAGGAAGUACAUGGUGUUUGAAGAGAACCUCUUGCAGCUGCUGAGGAACUGCCCAACCUGCAUGCGACCAUGCCAAAUUGACACCUUUGAAAUUGGCACUUUAUUAUCGGUCAAACAGACAUGCAGCAACUGUGUCGUAACCAACAAGUGGCAAAGCCAGCCUUUUAUUAGAGACAUACCAGUGGGAA